GACGAACGCUGGCGGCGUGCCUAAUACAUGCAAGUAGAACGCUGAAGCGAGGAGCUUGCUCUUCUUGGAUGAGUUGAGCACGGGUGAGUAACGCGUAGGUAACCUGCCUGGUAGCGGGGGAUAACUAUUGGAAACGAUAGCUAAUACCGCAUAAAAUGGAUUAUCGCAUGAUAAUCCAUUGAAAGGUGCAAAUUCAUCACUACCAGAUGGACCUGCGUUGUAUUAGGUAGUUGGUGGGGUAACGGCUCACCAAGGGGACGAUACAUAGCCGAACUGACAGGGUGAGCGGCCACACUGGGAGUGGGACACGGCCCAGACGGCUUGGGGAGGCAGCAGGACGGAAACGUCAGCAAGGGGCGGAAGACUGACCGAGCAACGCCGCGUGAGUGAGGAAGGUUUUCGGAUCGUAGAGCUCGGUUGUAAGGGAAGAAAGAGUGUGAGAGUGGAAAGUUCACUCUGUGACGGUAUCUGAUCAGAAAGGGACGGCUAACUACGUG
rnacentral:rRNA from 1 species